AUCCUGGCUCAGGAUGAACGCUAGCUACAGGCUUAACACAUGCAAGUCGAGGGGAAACGACAUCGAAAGCUUGCUUUUGAUGGGCGUCGACCGGCGCACGGGUGAGUGACGCGUAUCCAACCUGCCCACCACUUGGGGAUAACCUUGCGAAAGUAAGACUAAUACCCAACGAUAUCUCUAGAAGACAUCUGAAAGAGAUUAAAGAUUCAUCGGUGAUGGGUGGGGAUGCGU
rnacentral:rRNA from 1 species